UGAUGACUCUGGAUAACUUUACUGAUCGCAGUCGGCCUUGUGUCGGCGACGGAUCUUUCAAAUGUCUGCCCUAUCAAUUUGAUGGUAGGUGAUCUGCCUACCAGGAUAAUAACGGGUAACGGGGAAUCAGGGUUCGAUUCCGGAGAGGGAGCCUGAGAAACGGCUACCACAUCCAAGGAUGGCAGCAGGCGCGAAAAUUACCCACUCCCGGCACGGGGAGGUAGUGACGAAAAAUACGGAUACGGGACUCAAACGAGGCUCCGUAAUUCGAAUGAGUACAAUUUAAAUCCUUUAACGAGGACCAAUUGGAGGGCAAGUCUGGUGCCAGCAGCCGCGGUAACUCCAGCUCCAAAAGCGUAUAUUAAAGUUGCUGCAGUUAAAAAGCUCGUAGUUGGAUCUGGGUUGUGCGUUCACGCGCCUUGACUUGUUUGUCAGAUUCGGUCAUAUCCGGGCUGGUGUUCAAGUUGG
rnacentral:rRNA from 1 species